AACACUAAGCCUUAUGCUCAGAAUACAGUGAAGAUGCUAGAACCCUAGGAAGCCAAUUAGAAAGUGAUUGAGGAGGGUCCUAAAGAAGAGAGUUGCUCGCUAAACCCUCCUUGCUGAGGGACAGAGGAUAGGGCUAUCCUAUCAUUUCCUUCAACCAGAACAGAACCAUGAAGCUUGGUGUAGGAGCUGAGCUCCCCCAACCCCAGGCAGUCCUCCAGUCUCUAAGCAGAGGAGAGGCCCAGAAAGGAGCCCUGGGGACAUCCCACAGCUGGCCGGCACUGCCCCAGAGCAAGUCCCAAAAGCACAUAAGAGGUGCUGGGAGAUGGCCAAGCACCCAGAGGGCGUCCCUUGAAUCUCAGACUCACUAAAGACAGAAAAGGUUUAGUCCACUAGCCCAGGAAACAAGGAUUUGGAAUCAAGCCAAAGCCGAGAGAUGGCCUUUCCUGAGACGAGGUGCAGAACAGGGAUGAGAAAGGUUGCAAUUCAGAGGCAUCUGCCCCAGGCUGGUGUACAGGUAGUGUAAGAGAACGUUAGCCCAGGGCUCAUUAGCUCUGGAAUAAGGAGGGAGGUGGAGGAUCACCUGGAAGGGAGUCCAGGAUGGGAGUCCAGGAUGGUGAGAUCUCUAGUGACUUUGCAUCUUUUUAUACAGGCCCACUGACAAAGAAGCUCUCCUGAGGCACGGCUAUUACAUUAACACCUAAUUGAGAAUGAUCAAAGAUCAGGAAGUGGGAAGCCAGGUCUUUGAGCUGGGCCCAGCAAAGGAUGAAGACAUCACUUUGGGGGGAAAUUCUCAUAGCCAGCAUGGACCCAAAAAGAGGAUGACAUGAGAGUACGGCUCUGCUCAUCAGGGAGAUGACGAGGGAGAGACACAUCCUCUUCCACAUCCAGGGAGCCAUUGGAUCAUGGGUGGGCAGAGGCACAUUGUACUCACAUGCCCUCUUACCCACAGUGGGCUGGGAAGAGGAGGAAGUUCUUUGGCCCAAGCUGGAGAAAGACAUUGGCAGGCUCUUUGAGCCCCAUGCAGAAGAGGUCCACUCGGCCAAGUAGUGGGACUUCCUGAAGCAAGAUAGAGCACUUGGCCCCAGCACAUGGAGGGGCGGCAAGCACAGAACCAAAGCACCUGAUGCGAAAACCACCCCCUUGAGAUUUAAGCCAAUCCACACAUGCUCAAAGUUUGAGAUGUUGGGCCAGGGAUUGCACUAAGAAUAUCCAGCAACUGGUACAAUUAGAUCACUUUUCUAAGAAAUUUGAACACAAAAAAAGCAGCUCCAGCACACAUUUCCAACAUCUUAAUCCUUCCUAUCUAGGGCAUAUCUUCAAACUUUAGGGUGCUUUAAUCAUAAAAAUUCAUAAUUAAAACUCUGAAGAGAAGCCCAAUGUAUUCUCUCAUUUCAAUGCCUCUAUUCAUCACUCAUUUUGCCAAGCUCAUAAAAAUAGUUCUGCGUUCCCACCCUCACUGGCAGCCUGAUUGCUGAUGAGCCGGUGUCCAUUUUGUAUAUGGAGCAUUCGCCAGAGUGAACCUAUCAACCUCAUUAGCUGCUUAAUGCUAUCUCCAGGGUUCCACAAAGCCUCUCGAAAGGGCCACAUCAGCAAAAUUCCCUGACAAAAGCACAAUCUCGCCAGGCCGUAGUCCCUGGAACUCGGGCAAACUUUCAAAAGAUAUUUAACCCCUUUACAAGAAACCCUGAAAAGAAAAGGGAACAGAGGAAGAGCCUG
rnacentral:lncRNA from 1 species